rnacentral:rRNA from 1 species
UUUAACUGAGCGUUCAGUUACUUGACGUAGACCCGAAACCGGGCGACCUACCCAUGAGCAGGAUGAAGCGAAAGUAAAAUUUCGUGGAGGUCCGAACCCACGAGCGUUGAAAAGCUCGGGGAUGACUUGUGGGUAGCGGUGAAAUUCCAAUCGAGCCCGGAGAUAGCUGGUUCUCCCCGAAAUAGCUUUAGGGCUAGCCUCAAGGUGAGAGAUACGGAGGUAGAGCACUGAAUGUCCUAGGGGGUAUUGCACCUACCGAAGACUAUCAAACUCCGAAUGCCGUCAUCUUAUACUUGGGAGUCAGACUGUGGGUGAUAAGAUUCAUAGUCGAAAGGGCAACAGCCCAGAUCGUCAGCUAAGGUCCCUAAAUGUAAGUUAAGUGGUAAAGGAUGUGGGAUUGCACAGACAACCAGGAUGUUGGCUUAGAAGCAGCCACUCAUUCAAAGAGUGCGUAAUAGCUCACUGGUCGAGUGAUCCUGCGCCGAAGAUUUCCGGGGCUAAAACUUACUACCGAAGCUA